rnacentral:rRNA from 1 species
GACAGAGGGUGCAAACGUUGUUCGGAAUUACUGGGCGUAAAGCGUGUGUAGGCGGCCUCGCAAGUCGGAUGUGAAAGCCCCGGGCUCAACCCGGGAAGUGCACUCGAUACUGCGAGGCUCGAGUGUCGGAGAGGUUGGUGGAAUUCUCGGUGUAGAGGUGAAAUUCGUAGAUAUCGAGAGGAACACCGGUGGCGAAAGCGGCCAACUGGACGAACACUGACGCUGAGACACGAAAGCGUGGGGAGCGAACAGG